UGGCAUUUCUCCCACACCUGUUCUGUAUUAACUCAUUGGCUCAGGGUAUUUAGGGACCGUCUGGCACUGCUACUCACUGCCAGAUUGUUUAUGCCGUUAUGAUGCCGCUUGCCUAAAGCCAGUGUGAUUACCCUCUUGUCAUGAAAUCCUGUUGCUUGGAGGAAUUUAACAGAAACUUCCAGUUACCUGAGACGCCUAGAUGGUUGCUGCACCUGCAAAGAGACAUACUCCCCUGUUAGCUACCUGCCUGUCUACUCUUCAUCAAAACUCUCUGCUCCUUUGGGAAGUUCUCUUUGCUAGAUACAAACAACAGAUACUCCAGUUCUGUUCCUGUUGGCAAAUCUUCCACCCAUGCCACUUACCUAUUUUCAAUAUACUCUCUAUUAUUAUUACUAUUCCCAUUUUACAAUAAAGACCUGUAAACUUGUCA